rnacentral:rRNA from 1 species
AGAGUGAUCCUGGCUCAGAUUGACGCUGCGCAGGCCUAACACAUGCAAGUCGAGCGGAUGAAAGGAGCUUGCUCCUGGAUUCAGCGGCGGACGGGUGAGUAAUGCCUAGGAUCUGCCUGGUAGUGGGGGACAACGUUUCGAAAGGAACGCUAAUACCGCAUACGUCCUACGGGAGAAAGCAGGGGACCUUCGGGCCUUGCGCUAUCAGAUGAGCCUAGGUCGGAUUAGCUAGUUGGUGAGGUAAUGGCUCACCAAGGCGACGAUCCGUAACUGGUCUGAGAGGAUGAUCAGUCACACUGGAACUGAGACACGGUCCAGACUCCUACGGGAGGCAGCAGUGGGGAAUAUUGGACAAUGGGCGAAAGCCUGAUCCAGCCAUGCCGCGUGUGUGAAGAAGGUCUUCGGAUUGUAAAGCACUUUAAGUUGGGAGGAAGGGUUGUAGAUUAAUACUCUGCAAUUUUGACGUUACCGACAGAAUAAGCACCGGCUAACUCUGUGCCAGCAGCCGCGGUAAUACAGAGGGUGCAAGCGUUAAUCGGAAUUACUGGGCGUAAAGCGCGCGUAGGUGGUUUGUUAAGUUGGAUGUGAAAUCCCCGGGCUCAACCUGGGAACUGCAUCCAAAACUGCAAGCUAGAGUAUGGUAGAGGGUGGUGGAAUUUCCUGUGUAGCGGUGAAAGCGUAGAUAUAGGAAGGAACACCAGGAAGGACCACCUGGACUAUA